UGCAUAUCAAUAAGCGGAGGAAAAGAAACCAACAGGGAUUGCCUCAGUAACGGCGAGUGAAGCGGCAAAAGCUCAAAUUUGAAACCCUCGGGAUUGUAAUUUGAAGAUUUGGCAUUGGAGAAAGCUAACCCAAGUUGCUUGGAAUAGUACGUCAUAGAGGGUGACAACCCCGUCUGGCUAACCGUUCUCCAUGUAUUGCCUUAUCAAAGAGUCGAGUUGUUUGGGAAUGCAGCUCAAAGUGGGUGGUAAACUCCAUCUAAAGCUAAAUACUGGUGAGAGACCGAUAGCGAACAAGUACUGUGAAGGAAAGGUGAAAAGAACUUUGAAAAGAGAGUGAAAUAGUAUGUGAAAUUGUUGAUAGGGAAGGAAAUGAGUGGAGAGUGGCCGAGGUUUCAGCCGCCCCUCGUGGGCGGUGUACUGCCGACGCCGAGUCAUCGAUAGCGAGACGAGGGUUACAAAUGGGAGCGCCUUUCGGGCGUUCUCCCCUAACCCUCCACACUGCCACCGACGACAUAAUCCACCCAUUUCACCCGUCUUGAAAC
rnacentral:rRNA from 1 species